AGUGAACGCUGGCGGUAGGCCUAACACAUGCAAGUCGAACGGCAGCACAGUAAGUGCUUGCUCUUACGGGUGGCGAGUGGCGGACGGGUGAGGAAUACAUCGGAAUCUACUUUUACGUGGGGGAUAACGUAGGGAAACUUACGAUAAUACCGCAUACGACCUACGGGUGUAAGCAGGGGAUCUUCGGGCCUUGCGCGAUUGUAAGAGCCGAGGUGGGUUUAGCUAGUUGGCUGGGUAAAGGCCCAGCAAGGCGACGCUCCGUAGCGGGUAUGAGAGGAUGAUCAGCCACACGGUAAGUGAGACACGGUCCAGACUCCUGCGGUGGGCAGCAGUGGGGAAUAUUACGCGAGGGGCGAGAGCCUGAUACAGCAAUACCGCGUGGGUGAUGAAGGCCUUCGGGUUGGAGAGCCAUGUUGUUGGGAAAGAAGAAAAGCUGUUUUAUACCGCGCGGUUCUGACGGUACCCAAAGAAUAAGCACCGGCUAACUUCGUG
rnacentral:rRNA from 1 species